rnacentral:lncRNA from 1 species
GGAGUCUUGCUCAGUCGCCCAGGCUGGAGUGCAGUGGCGCGAUCUCGGCUCACUGCAAGCUCCGCCUCCCGGGUUCACGCCAUUCUCCCGCCUCAGCCUCCCGAUUAGCUGGGACCACAGGCGCCCGCCACCACGCCUGGCUAAUUUUUUGUAUUUUUAGUAGAGACGGGGUUUCACCAUGUUAGCCAGGAUGGUCUCAAUCUCCUGACCUCGUGAUCCGUCCGCCUCGGCUUCCCAAAGUGCUGGGAUUACAGGCAUGAGCCACCG